rnacentral:tRNA from 1 species
GAAAUAAAAAAGCAAGAACUUCUAAUUCUUGAUAAAUAAUAUUAUUAUUAUUAUUUCU